CAAAUGCUGCUGGUCACCUCCUUGGGUGUCUGAGGCCGAGAAAGAGUUCUAGAGGAGUAGAAAGAUGCAGGUCAUACGUACUGACCUUCUGCUGCUGCUGCUGCUGCUGCUGCUUUCGUUUCUCUUUCCAUUCUAUCGCAUCGCAUCAAUGGCGUUUCUCCUGAAAUCUUGCUGAUCAGAAGAAAUCGAGGUUUUCCAGGGUACAUUGCAGGAUCUAGAGGUUUCUCUCAAUCCGCUGCUUGUUCUUCUCCUGGUACUUUCUUGGACAAGCAGGAGGUCACCACCCGUGUUGUGGAUCUUCUCAAAUCCAUCCCCUUCGUUGAUCCUGCCAAGGUGAACCCAACAGCAAAUUUCAAGGAUGACUUGCAGUUGGAUAUGUUAGAUAAUGUGGAGGUAAUGGUGGCAGUGGAAGAAGAAUUUGCUGUGGACAUCCCUGACAGUGAAGCCAACAAAUUCUCUUCAGCAGCUCAUCUCAUCGAAUACAUUGCAACCCACCCACAAGCCAAAUGAGGGUCCUGAUCUUUCGACGGUGAAGUCUUAAACAGUAUGUAAUAGGUGGGUUGUUCCAAUGGAAAGCCUUUUGCCUUUUUUAGAAACUUUCCUUUGAGCAAUUUUGCUUUGUUUUUUUUUUUUUUUAAAUUUUAUUGAGGCUCAUAGCUCCGAUUUUAAUAAAGUCUAGAAAUGAUGAUAUGUUUUGAUCCUUUGUAUGAGCAUGCCAUUUCAUUAAACCAAUGAUGUUCUUUUUCCAGGA